GCCCGGUGUGGUUGUGCAUGCCUGUAAUCCCAGCACUAGGGAGGCUGAGACAAGAGGAUUGUGAGUUCAAAGUCAGCCUAAGCAACUUAGUGAGGUCCUAUGCAAUUUAGCAAGACCCUGUCUCAA
rnacentral:sRNA from 1 species